GCCUAGGGUUUUGCCCAUCAGAAAGAAACGUUAUUCUCCGUCAUUUUCAGUCAUUCUACUCAAACAUCAUACGCAAACUAGAAAAUAGGGAAAAUAGAAUUGUAUGAUACUUUUUACUGAUUUUUUAGGAACAACACCUGCCAAGAAAGUCUUAUCCUCGUCAAUUUACGAUAACAUCACCUCAUGAACGAAUCCUUCAAAGAUUUAGGGAAACUACAUGCCUUUGAAUGCUGAUAUAAAUAUGGCACAAAUUGCAAAUUCGACUGCCUUAUCUGAUGUUACUUUGAUCAAUAAUAAUGUAUGUGCUGCAUCCACUUUGAGCAAUGAUCAUCAGAAAAGUACAUCACCUUGUAUACUUCUUCAACGUCUAGUCUAUCUUGUAUUUCACUCGACUCCAGAGAUUCGCAUGAUGGUAAAAAUGUAACAGGUUACUGUGAUUACAUCGUAAUCACGUGGUUUUUGUUCACUCCACUUUGUUCAAGUAACGUUUGUUCUAUAAACGUUGACAGUGAUAUGAACGGCCAAAUUAAAUUUUUGGUAGACAAAAUGACGGUUCCACAAACUCAUCAAAUAGAAUUAAUAACACUGGCAGAAUUAGCAGGAAUUUCAGCAAUUCCCGGAGUUUAUCGUAUUAUACUGGAACUUUUGGCACUUCAAAUAUCACCAGAGGGCAUAUACAUUAUUUUGAAACAAAUAUAUCCACAAUCAUCAGACAAACAACAAGGUAUUAACAAUGUUGAAGAAGCACCUGAUGAAUUAACCACACAUUAAAGUGUGUCUUUCUAUAUUUGAUUGUUUAAAUUAAUUUAUAUCUUUUUUUUACGUCAUUACAUAAUUGUUAGAGAAAGUCAUUAAUUAUAAAUGAAUUAUAAAUAAAGUAUAAAAAUAAAUAAUAAUAUUUCUUA